CGUAGGCGGGAUGGCAAGUCGGUCGUGAAAUCCUUCGGCUCAACCGAAGAACGUCGAUCGAUACUGCUGUUCUUGAGGGUUGCAGAGGAGACUGGAAUUCCCGGUGUAGCGGUGAAAUGUGUAGAGAUCGGGAGGAACACCGGUGGCGAAGGCGGGUCUCUGGGCAAUUCCUGACGCUGAGGCGCGAAAGCGUGGGGAGCAAACGGGAUUAGAUACCCCGGUAGUCCACGCUGUAAACGAUGACGACUAGGUGUGGGGGGGUUCAGUCCCUUCCGUGCCGCAGCUAACGCAUUAAGUCGUCCGCCUGGGGAGUACGGCCGCAAGGUUGAA
rnacentral:rRNA from 1 species